rnacentral:misc_RNA from 1 species
UUUCUUCUUAAUAACAGUAAUAAACUCUCGUACUUUGUUUCAUAUUGCAUGAAACCAAAGCUUCUUGGGUUUAAGGACUUUAUGCUUAGGAGAUUUUAAGCAUAUAAUGUCCUAAUAGCCCAAAGAAACUUUUAAGUACACACAUAUAUAGAUAUUUAUCAUUUAUUUUUUUCUUUUUUUUUUGUUUUAAUUUAAUGGAUAAGUAUAUGGGCUAAUGCUCUUCUUGAUAGCCACCAGUUGGUAUACAAUAUGCACAUCAUUCAUUUCCUUGGCUGAUGGAUAAUAAUUGGACGUGAACAAUGAGCUGGUCGUGCAUCAUGAGUUGGAACAGGCUUUUCAUGGAAGACUUGCACAGCUUCUGGAGGAAAAUCUGCAUUUCCUCUUGCAGGAACUCCACUGAUCAUGAGAGUUUUUGGUGGGCUAAAACACAAUCAAUCUACUCGAUGUUUUACUUUCGUCCACGUCUUUAAUUGGUUUUAUUUCCCGAUCUUCUUUCGGUGUUUUAUGCUGGGUGAUUCUCAUUCCGCCUGCUUUUACUAAAACAAAAAUGUAAAACGUAAAUUUUGAUUAAGAGAGAGUUAAACGAGCAGAUGGCCUUGAAAUAUCCAGACAGGUGCAUAUAACGUCAUUUGGCUUAGUUGUGUAAACAUGUUAACCUUUUCCAUUUCGAGGAAAAUUAUGAUUUAUUUCGUUACCUGCAG